UUGUUGAGAUCACACUAGUCUUCACAUUCCAGACUAAAUACCACCAUCCACCAUCUCAAACAAGCAUCGCCUGUUCAUACAAACCACAAGUAAUAUCUCCGUUCCUUGUAUUUAAUUCUGCUGCCUUGCCUUAGAAUAUGCAUUUGAUUUUGACUAAAAUAUCUACAUCUGCCAGCAUAUAAAUAGAAAUAAAAAUUUAAAUACAACUUCCUGUAUGUUCAGCUAGGGAUAGCAUAUGAUAAAUGUGAUUAUAACACAGGAAGUAAACCUAAAAGGAUGUAGUCCUCAUUAAUCUUGUAGUCCUGAACAAUGUAUAAAUUGUUUUCCGCCCUCCAAAAUGCAGAAUAUUUUGUGUAAUUCCUUGUAUUUCUCUCCUUUCUGCUACAG
rnacentral:lncRNA from 1 species